GAUGAACGCUGGCGGCGUGCCUAAUACAUGCAAGUCGAGCGAACGGACGAGAAGCUUGCUUCUCUGAUGUUAGCGGCGGACGGGUGAGUAACACGUGGAUAACCUACCUAUAAGACUGGGAUAACUUCGGGAAACCGUAGCUAAUACCGGAUAAUAUUUUGAACCGCAUGGUUCAAAAGUGAAAGACGGUCUUGCUGUCACUUAUAGAUGGAUCCGCGCUGCAUUAGCUAGUUGGUAAGGUAACGGCUUACCAAGGCAACGAUGCAUAGCCGACCUGAGAGGAGGAGCGGCCACACUGGAACUGAGACACGGUCCAGACUCCUACGGGAGGCAGCAGUAGGGAAUCUUCCGCAAUGGGCGAAAGCCUGACGGAGCAACGCCGCGUGAGUGAUGAAGGUCUUCGGAUCGUAAAACUCUGUUAUUAGGGAAGAACAUAUGUGUAAGUAACUGUGCACAUCUUGACGGUACCUAAUCAGAAAGCCACGGCUAACUACGUG
rnacentral:rRNA from 1 species